AAUUUCCCUGCCUCAGAGUCACUACUCGAGUCCCUCGCCUGCUCUGUGUAAAGCCCCAGCCAAAAAAGCACACCUGCAUUAACUCUGCUGCACAUAAUUUAUUGAGCUAGUUGCAUCACAAUACUUUUUCUUUUGUUUCCCAUUACCAGCAAAACAGAAGUUAUCCUAGCAUAGCCAUCCUACAUGUUGGUUUUUAAUCGCCAUUAUGCUGAGCAGACAAGGCAGAUGCUACUCUAUGGCCUGUACCAUAGGCACCUAUGAAGAUUUUUCUCCAGUCAGAAGAGCUGUUUGAAAGAGCGGAAAGGUCUCCGAAGCACUUGCCCGCUACUAGGAGGCAGUGAUUUAACUCCCUGUUCAACUUCAGCUACUGCUCACCAGCCAGCUGGGAGACUUUUGUGCGGUGCCCACAGACCGGCUUUGGGAAGCUACAUCGCUGGAGUCGCCUGGGAAGGUGUCUGGAAGUUGCUUACAUUUUAAAUGUUUGACAGCAUCAGCUUCUGGUCUCUGCUACAGGCUUGCAUGGUGCUAGGUCUCUACGGGCAACUUAUGACAACAGAGCUUGCCACACCCGAAACCUUCAUGACAAGAAAAGCCAUCAAAACUUCUUGAUUUCAGAAGUUUCUUGAAGAUAUACGUCUCUCAAAAGCAAGGGUAACUGCUCUCCUUGAAGGCUAAAAAGUGCCAAACUGAGAAUGUAGGACGGAAAAGUGAUGUGGAAGACGAGGAGACUUGUGAAACAGUAAGCAAGGCAUGCCACAAUAUUAUUUCCUUUCUCCUUGGGA
rnacentral:lncRNA from 1 species